CAACUACUCCCUCUGUCCCAAAUUUCUUUUCUUAGAUUUGUCUAGAUACGGAUGUAUCUAAUACUAAAAUGUGACUUGAUACAUCCGUAUCUAGACAAAUGCAAGACAAGAAUUUUGGGACGAAGGGAGUACUUU
rnacentral:pre_miRNA from 1 species